UUUUCUUUUGUUGCUCGUGGCUUUUUUUUAAUGAGCUUAAUCUUAUGCUUUUGAUCUGUGUUUCAGGGAUCUCGCAGUUCGUUCUUGAUGCUCAGAAGUCGGUGGGUUGGAUUCGUGAUGAGUCAGAUUCGGGAUUGACUCGCAGAGUUCUCCGUAAUUAGCCAGUUUAAGGAUCAAAGCUCCCUCUUCUUGCAUGAAUCUCUCAUGGAUGGAUGCGUAUGAAAUAUGAAUCGCUUGCUUAACUUUGGUUAUUGGAUUUGGAGUUACUCAACUGCCAGAAUUAUGAUGCAAUAAUCAAUAUCGGGCUAUGUUUGGUUCAUUGCAAGUGCAACUGGAUGCAAAUGUCAGCUAUAUGUUUGUUUGGUUCAUUGCAAGUGCAACUGGAUGCAAAUGUCAGCUAUAUGUAACUACAGUUUCAAUUAUUGUCGCACAUAGUUAUUGUUGCA